rnacentral:rRNA from 1 species
AGAGGUGGCGAGCGUUGUUCGGAAUUAUUGGGCGUAAAGAGCACGUAGGUGGGUUUGCAAGUCAGAUGUGAAAGCCUUCUGUUCAACGGAAGAAUUGCAUCUGAAACUGCUAAUCUUGAGUAUAGGAGGGGAGAAUGGAACUUCUGGUGGAGCGGUGAAAUGCGUAGAUAUCAGAAGGAACGCCGGCGGCGAAAGCGAUUCUCUGGCCUAUUACUGACACUCAGUGUGCGAAAGCUAGGGGAGCAAACGGGAUUAGAUACCCCGGUAGUCCUAGCCGUAAACGAUGGGCACUAAGUAGAGGGGAUUACCUAUAUUCUCUCUGCCGUAGCUAACGCAUUAAGUGCCCCCCUGGGGAGUACGGCCGCAAGGCUA